GCGGAGGGCUGGAUGACCGCGGGGGCAACCUCGAGGAAAGUCCGGACUCCAGGAAGUAAGGGUGCCGGGUAACGCCCGGCGGGGGCAACCCCAGGGAAAGCGCCACAGAGAAGAGUCUGCCGGGCCUAAGAGGUUCGCCCUUGGCGGCUGGCGAUGGUGAAACGGUGGGGUAAGAGCCCACCACGGACCUGGCAACAGGGACGGUAUGGCAAGCCCCACCCGGAGCAAUGCCGAAUAGGGGUCCUGUCGCGGAAAGGUCCGGGCCGACAGCGAAAGCUGCCGGAGACCUCCGCGGGGGAGCUUCGACCCAGGGACCCGGGUUGGCAGCUUGACCGCCGUGGCGACACGGUUGGCAGAGGAAUGGUCAUCCAGGGGCGCAAGCCCCGGACAGAAUCCGGCUUACAGGCUCUCCGCGCAA
rnacentral:RNase_P_RNA from 1 species